rnacentral:rRNA from 1 species
AUGACAAGAACACAGAUCACGGAUUCUACACUUCUGAGAUCCUAUCUGUGGGAUAAGACACGCAAGAUAAGGCUCACGCACAACAUGCGGGCACAGUCUGAUCCUUGGUUCUCCGAAUACCUACUAAGGAUCGGCAAUGGAACGGAAGAGACAAUUGGAGACGACUAUGUUCCUCUCCCUGACGACAUUGUGAUCGGCUAUAACGAGGAUGAAAAAGCUAUUAACACACUCAUCGAAGUUGUCUUCCUAGCGUUGCAUGCCAAUGCUAGAUCGAGAGAGUACAUGAGCGCACGUGCAAUUCUUUCGACCAAGAACGAUCAUGUGGAUGACCUGAAUGACAAGAUGAUCUCAAGGUUUCCAGGCGAAGAGAAGUUAUACCAUAGCUUUGACUCAAUCGAGGAUGACUUGCAGAAUAAUUACACAAUUGAUUUUCUGAACUCGAUCACACCAAAUUCCUUGCCUCCGCAUGCACUGAGAUUAAAGGUCAAUUGUGCGGUCAUUCUGCUCCGGAACCUUGAUCCUCAUAAUGGCAUAUGCAAUGGAACACGGCUUAUGAUUAGAGCCUUCCGGGAUAAUGCAAUCGACAUAGAGAUUGUUGGUGGUCAGCAUGCUGGAAAGAGGGUGUUCAUACCUAGAAUCCCUAUGUCGCCCUCGGAGGACAUCUCACUUCCUUUCAUACUUAAGAGAAAACAGUUCCCCAUCCGCCUGAGUUUUGCAAUGACAAUUAACAAGAUUUACUAA